UACGUAGGUGGCAAGCGUUGUCCGGAUUUACUGGGCGUAAAGCGCGCGUAGGCGGUUACUCAAGUCGGAUGUGAAAGCCCCCGGCUCAACUGGGGAGGGUCAUUCGAUACUGUUCGACUCGAAGGCAGGAGAGGGAAGUGGAAUUCCCGGUGUAGUGGUGAAAUGCGUAGAUAUCGGGAGGAACACCGGUGGCGAAGGCGGCAUCCUGGACCGAGAUUGACGCUGAGGCGCGAAAGCCAGGGGAGCAAACGGG
rnacentral:rRNA from 1 species